GACGAACGCUGGCGGCGUGCCUAAUACAUGCAAGUCGAACGCAUUUUCUUUCACCGUAGCUUGCUACACCGAAAGAAAAUGAGUGGCGAACGGGUGAGUAACACGUGGGUAACCUGCCCAUCAGCUGGGGAUAACACUUGGAAACAGGUGCUAAUACCGCAUAAUUCCAUUUACCGCAUGGUAGAUGGGUGAAAGGCGCUUUUGCGUCACUGAUGGAUGGACCCGCGGUGCAUUAGCUAGUUGGUGGGGUAACGGCCUACCAAGGCUGCGAUGCAUAGCCGACCUGAGAGGGUGAUCGGCCACACUGGGACUGAGACACGGCCCAGACUCCUACGGGAGGCAGCAGUAGGGAAUCUUCGGCAAUAGACGCAAGUCUGACCGAGCAACGCCGCGUGAGUGAAGAAGGUUUUCGGAUCGUAAAACUCUGUUGUUAGAGAAGAACAAGGAUGAGAGUGGAAAGUUCAUCCCUUGACGGUAUCUAACCAGAAAGCCACGGCUAACUACGUG
rnacentral:rRNA from 1 species